UACGUAGGUCCCGAGCGUUGUCCGGAUUUAUUGGGCGUAAAGCGAGCGCAGGUGGUUUAUUAAGUCUGGUGUAAAAGGCAGUGACUCAACCAUUGUAUGCAUUGGAAACUGGUAGACUUGAGUGCAGGAGAGGAGAGUGGAAUUCCACGUGUAGCGGUGAAAUGCGUAGAUAUAUGGAGGAACACCGGUGGCGAAAGCGGCUCUCUGGCCUGUAACUGACACUGAGGCUCGAAAGCGUGGGGAGCAAACAGG
rnacentral:rRNA from 1 species